rnacentral:rRNA from 1 species
UACGAAGGGGGCUAGCGUUGUUCGGAAUUACUGGGCGUAAAGCGUGCGCAGGCGGCUUCUCAAGUCAGGGGUGAAAGCCCAGAGCUCAACUCUGGAAUUGCCUUUGAGACUGAGUGGCUUGAGUACGAGAGAGGUGAGUGGAAUUCCCAGUGUAGAGGUGAAAUUCGUAGAUAUUGGGAAGAACACCGGUGGCGAAGGCGACUCACUGGACACGUAUUGACGCUGAGGUGCGAAAGCGUGGGGAGCAAACAGG